rnacentral:rRNA from 1 species
UCAGAUCACCCAACUCGUGAACCUUAGCGAGCGCUCGUCGCUCGCCGACCAGGGCAGAGANUUGCUUUGAAGUGGAAAGGGGGUCGGGUCUAGGCCUACACCACCCGGAAGCUUGCGAGCGCUCUGCCUUGCAACCCGACUUUCCGUCAGGGAGGUUGGCUUGCGCCCUUUUCCAACCAAACACCCAACCUUGUUGUUCUGAAGUGACAUGCAACUGGCUUCGCCGGUUGUGUAACCAUCAAAC